UUUUGAACAUUUAAUUUAAAA
ensembl:piRNA 21ur-8934 ncRNA